UUCCUUGCUUAUAAGCCGGGGGACUAGCCUUUGCUAUGUUCACUAGUAAAACGCAAGGAAAACCAUAGAGACAACCAGACACCGUGAAUGUUUUGAUAUUUUCGGUCAUAGUGUGUCCCACAAUU
rnacentral:snoRNA from 1 species